rnacentral:rRNA from 1 species
UACAGAGGAUGCAAGCGUUAUCCGGAAUGAUUGGGCGUAAAGCGUCUUAAGGUGGCUUUGUGAAGUCUACUGUUAAAGAUCAAGGCUUAACCUUGAGCAGGCAGUAGAAACUCAUAAGCUUGAGUACGGUAGGGGCAGAGGGAAUUCCCGGUGUAGCGGUGAAAUUCGUAGAUAUCGGGAGGAACACCGGUGGCGAAGGCGGCGACCUGGGUGGAUACUGACGCUGAGGCGCGAAAGCGUGGGGAGCAAACAGG